rnacentral:rRNA from 1 species
AGAGUUGAUCAUGGCUCAGAACGAACGCUGGCGGCGCGUCUUAAGCAUGCAAGUCGAACGGCAAGAGGUAGCAAUACCUCCUAGAGUGGCGGACUGGUGAGUAACACGUGGGUGACAUACCCUUCAGAUGGGGAUAGCUAUUAGAAAUAGUAGAUAAUACCGAAUACGAGCACAGGGGUUAGAGAUCUGUGAGGAAAGGAGCUAAGGCUCCGCUGGAGGAAUGGCCUGCGGCCCAUUAGCUAGUUGGUGAGGUAAGAGCCCACCAAGGCGAUGAUGGGUAUCCGGCCUUAGGGGGUGAACGGACACAUUGGGACUGAGAUACGGCCCAGACUCCUACGGGAGGCAGCAGCUAAGAAUAUUCCGCAAUGGACGAAAGUCUGACGGAGCGACGCCGCCGUGGAUGAAGAAGGCCGGAAGGUUGUAAAAUCCUUUUGAAACUGAAGAAUAAGCGUUGUAGGGAAUGACAGCGUGGUGACAGUAGGUUUUGAAUAAGCAACGGCUAAUUACGUGCCAGCCGCCGC